UGUUUUCUGGAAAAAUAUUUUCUGGGAGUCAGAGACAUCAUGCCCAACAACAUGAAAGCCUUGUGGUUCUUCCUAAUUCUGGUGUCAGCUACCAGAUGUGUCCUGUCCCAGGUGCAGCUGAAGGAGUCGGGACCUGGCCUGGUGAAGCCCUCACAGACCCUGUCCCUCACCUGCUCUGUCUCUGGAGGCUCUUUAUCCAGCUAUUAUAUGCACUGGAUCCGGCAGGCUCCAGGAAAGGGGCUGGAGUGGGUUGGUGCAAUAGGUAGUAGUGGAAGUACAUACUAUAACCCAACUCUUAAGUCCCGAGUCACCAUCACCAAGGACAACUCCAAGAAUGAAGUUUAUUUAAAGCUCAGCAGCCUGAGUCCUGAAGACACGGCCGUGUAUUACUGUGCAAGAGACACAGUGAGAGGAAGUCAGGGUGAGCCCAGACAGAAACCUCCCCUGAGGGCACAAGAGAGACUGGUGGUGGCUCUUGACCAGAUGCCUGUUGAGCAAGGGCUUGCUGCCCAUGCAGGGUGCACAGGAUGUUGGUGCCCACAGCCCGGGACAGCUUGCUCACCAAUGGCUGGAUCAGCUCUCAGGCAGACAGUGCCAGUGAUUCAGGUUGCUGCCUCACCACUGCAGGCUGCGGCCGGCUGCUCCUCAGCUGUCCCAUGGGACCCUACAGCUCCCCUCCCUGCCACUGCCUCAGAGGCCACCACGGCUCCCGCAUAG